AUCUGUGGUCAAGUUGUUAAGGGCGCACGGUGGAUGCCUUGGCACUAGGAGCCGAAGAAGGACGUUGGAGCCUGCGAUAAGCCUCGGGGAGUUGGCAACCAAGCUGUGAUCCGAGGGUGUCCGAAUGGGGAAACCCGGCUGGAGUCAUGUCCAGUCACCCGCAUCUGAACACAUAGGGUGUGUGGAGGGAACGUGGGGAAGUGAAACAUCUCAGUACCCACAGGAAGAGAAAGCAAUCGCGAUUCCGUGAGUAGUGGCGAGCGAAAGCGGAUGAGGCUAAACCGGUCGCGUGUGAUAGCUGGUAGGCGUUGCGUGGUCGGGGUUGUGGGACCUCUCGGUUUGGGCUACCACCUGGACGAGGAGUGAGAAAGUCACGUCAUAGUCGAAGGGUCUUGAAAGGCCUGGCAUAGAGGGUGUUACCCCCGUAGACGAAAUGGCGUGGUCUCCUGAGAGGGAUCCCAAGUAGCACGGGGCCCGAGAAAUCCCGUGUGAAUCUGGGGGGACCACCCCCUAAGCCUAAAUACUCCCUAGUGACCGAUAGCGGACAAGUACCGUGAGGGAAAGGUGAAAAGUACCCCGGGAGGGGAGUGAAAUAGUACCUGAAACCGUGUGCCUACAAUCCGUCGGGGCCUCCUUGUGGGGUGACGGCGUGCCUUUUGAAGAAUGAGCCUGCGAGUUAGUGGUGCGUGGCGAGGUUAACCCGUGGGGGGUAGCCGUAGCGAAAGCGAGUCCGAAGAGGGCGUUGGAGUCGCGUGCUCUAGACCCGAAGCGAAGUGAUCUACCCAUGGGCAGGUUGAAGCGCGGGUAAGACCGCGUGGAGGACCGAACCCACCAGGGUUGAAAACCUGGGGGAUGACCUGUGGGUAGGGGUGAAAGGCCAAUCAAACUUCGUGAUAGCUGGUUCUCCCCGAAAUGCAUUUAGGUGCAGCGUCACGUGUUUCUUGCCGGAGGUAGAGCUACUGGAUGGUUGAUGGGCCCUACAAGGUUACUGACGUCAGCCAAACUCCGAAUGCCGGUAAGUGAGAGCGUGGCAGUGAGACUGCGGGGGAUAAGCUCCGUAGUCGAGAGGGAAACAGCCCAGACCACCAGCUAAGGCCCCUAAGCGUGUGCUAAGUG
rnacentral:rRNA from 1 species